rnacentral:rRNA from 1 species
GGGCCCGCACAAGCGGUGGAGUAUGUGGUUUAAUUCGAUGCAACGCGAAGAACCUUACCAGGGUUUGACAUCCUGCGAAUCUCUUGGAAACGAGAGAGUGCCUUCGGGAACGCAGUGACAGGUGGUGCAUGGCUGUCGUCAGCUCGUGUCGUGAGAUGUUGGGUUAAGUCCCGCAACGAGCGCAACCCACGUCUUUAGUUGCCAGCAUUAGUUGGGGACUCAUAGGAGACUGCCGGUGAUAAACCGGAGGAAGGUGUGGAUGACGUCAAGUCAUCAUGCCCCUUACAUCCUGGGCUACACACGUACUACAAUGCUACGGACAAAGGGCAGCAAACUCGCGAGAGCUAGCAAAUCCCAUAAACGUGGCUC